UACGUAGGGUGCAAGCGUUAAUCGGAAUUACUGGGCGUAAAGCGUGCGCAGGCGGCUAUGCAAGACAGAUGUGAAAUCCUGGAGCUCAACCUGGGAACUGCCUUUGUGACUGCAUAGCUAGAGUACGGUAGAGGGGGAUGGAAUUCCGCGUGUAGCAGUGAAAUGCGUAGAUAUGCGGAGGAACACCGAUGGCGAAGGCAAUCCCCUGGACCUGUACUGACGCUCAUGCACGAAAGCGUGGGGAGCAAACAGG
rnacentral:rRNA from 1 species